rnacentral:misc_RNA from 1 species
GGCGUAUUAAUUAAAAAGUAAAGGACUACACCCAUAGGAGUCUUGAUGGCAAAGUGAAGCGGUUCAAAAGAUUAUUUUUAAAGAAAAUUUGAAUAUAAGUGGAUUACAAUAGAUCCGAAAUAAAUUGGAACCUAUCAUCUUCAACAAGAAAGUCUCUCUCUAACUUUUAGAGAGAAAUUUCUCCUUUGGCUUUCUUUAUUCUUUAGGGUCU